GUAGUCCACGCUGUAAACGAUGGAUGCUUGUUGUUGGAAUGUUAACCUUUUCAGUAACGAAGCUAACGCGUUAAGCAUCCCGCCUGGGGAGUACGGUCGCAAGAUUAAAACUCAAAGAAAUUGACGGGGACCCGCACAAGCAGUGGAGCAUGUGGUUUAAUUCGACGCAACGCGAAGAACCUUAUCCUGGUCUUGACAUCCGUUGACCGCCGGCGAAAGCCGGUUUUCCCUUCGGGGGACAGCGAGACAGGUGCUGCAUGGCUGUCGUCAGCUCGUGUCGUGAGAUGUUGGGGUUAAG
rnacentral:rRNA from 1 species